CAGGACACGCAGAAGCUGGGGACACAGACAUCACUGUGCUUUUAGUUGAGCCUUAUUCCUCCCCACCACAGCUGGCACCAAAGCAGGCAGGAGCUGGGCAGAGGGCACUGCUUUAGGCCCAGGCCACUUUGGAGCUAGUUCACUGCUCUGGGGAAGCUGAGGCAAGUCAGGGGUACUUCCUCCCUAACCCCACUGCAGGGCUAGAGCCCUGCAAAGUGUCAGUAUGAUACACUCUGAUUAGGGAUGGAGGGCUAGGAAGUCACCCUGGCUACAGCUUCCCCCUGUGGUGGAGCUGCUGUGCCUGUAGUCAGGAACAGACACAGAAGUACAGCCAUGGCACAGCUGCCACCUCCUCCCAGGACUUCAGAGCUGUGCUAGGCUCAGGCUGCCUGAAGCCAGCCCUGAAGAGCAAGAGCUCCACCCCUUGUUCAGAUCCCAAACCUCAGGGAGGAAGAGCUUGGUUCUAUGAGCCACAGCCUUUUCUUCCAUCAGACUCCAUAAAAAAAAA